AACAAACGCUGGCGGCGUGUCUUAAGCAUGCAAGUUGAGCGGCAAGGAGGAGAGAUCCUCCCUAGAGCAGCGGACUGGUGAGUAACGCGUGGGUAAUCUAUCUUAGGCAUAGGGAUAGUCACUAGAAAUAGUGGGUAAUACCGAAUAAGUUCCAUAAGGGGAGGACUUAUGGAAGAAAGGUGCUACGGCACUGGCCUUAGGUGAGCUCGCGUCCCAUUAGCUAGUUGGUGAGGUAAAGGCCCACCAAGGCGAUGAUGGGUAGCCGGCCUGAGAGGGUGUACGGCCACACUGGGACUGAGAUACGGCCCAGACUCCUACGGGAGGCAGCAGCUAAGAAUAUUCCGCAAUGGACGGAAGUCUGACGGAGCGACGCCGCGUGGAUGAAGAAGGCCGAAAGGUUGUAAAGUUCUUUUGCUAGGGGAGAAUAAGUGUGGGAGGGAAUGCCUGCACGAUGACAAGGACUAGCGAAUAAGUCCCGGCCAACUACGUGCCAGCAGCCGG
rnacentral:rRNA from 1 species